rnacentral:rRNA from 1 species
AGAGUUUGAUCCUGGCUCAGAUUGAACGCUGGCGGCAUGCCUUACACAUGCAAGUCGAACGGCAGCACGGGGGCAACCCUGGUGGCGAGUGGCGAACGGGUGAGUAAUAUAUCGGAACGUACCCAGUAGUGGGGGAUAACUAUCCGAAAGGAUAGCUAAUACCGCAUACGAUCUGUGGAUGAAAGCAGGGGAUCUUCGGACCUUGUGCUAUUGGAAUGGCCGAUAUCUGAUUAGCUAGUUGGUAGGGUAAAAGCCUACCAAGGCGACGAUCAGUAGCUGGUCUGAGAGGACGACCAGCCACACUGGAACUGAGACACGGUCCAGACUCCUACGGGAGGCAGCAGUGGGGAAUUUUGGACAAUGGGGGCAACCCUGAUCCAGCAAUGCCGCGUGAGUGAAGAAGGCCCUC